UUAAGUUAUUAAGGGCGCACGGUGGAUGCCUUGGCACUAGAAGCCGAUGAAGGACGUUACUAACGACGAUAUGCUUUGGGGAGCUGUAAGUAAGCUUUGAUCCAGAGAUUUCCGAAUGGGGAAACCCAGCAUGAGUUAUGUCAUGUUAUCGAUAUGUGAAUACAUAGCAUAUCAGAAGGCAUACCCGGAGAACUGAAACAUCUUAGUACCCGGAGGAAGAGAAAGAAAAUUCGAUUCCCUUAGUAGCGGCGAGCGAAACGGGAAGAGCCCAAACCAACAAGCUUGCUUGUUGGGGUUGUAGGACACUCUAUACGGAGUUACAAAGGACGACAUUAGACGAAUCAUCUGGAAAGAUGAAUCAAAGAAGGUAAUAAUCCUGUAGUCGAAAAUGUUGUCUCUCUUGAGUGGAUCCUGAGUACGACGGAGCACGUGAAAUUCCGUCGGAAUCUGGGAGGACCAUCUCCUAAGGCUAAAUACUCUCUAGUGACCGAUAGUGAACCAGUACCGUGAGGGAAAGGUGAAAAGCACCCCGGAAGGGGAGUGAAAUAGAACCUGAAACCGUGUGCUUACAAGUAGUCAGAGCCCGUUAAUGGGUGAUGGCGUGCCUUUUGUAGAAUGAACCGGCGAGUUACGAUUUGAUGCAAGGUUAAGCAGUAAAUGUGGAGCCGUAGCGAAAGCGAGUCUGAAUAGGGCGUUUAGUAUUUGGUCGUAGACCCGAAACCAGGUGAUCUACCCUUGGUCAGGUUGAAGUUCAGGUAACACUGAAUGGAGGACCGAACCGACUUACGUUGAAAAGUGAGCGGAUGAACUGAGGGUAGCGGAGAAAUUCCAAUCGAACCUGGAGAUAGCUGGUUCUCUCCGAAAUAGCUUUAGGGCUAGCCUCAAGUGAUGAUUAUUGGAGGUAGAGCACUGUUUGGACGAGGGGCCCCUCUCGGGUUACCGAAUUCAGACAAACUCCGAAUGCCAAUUAAUUUAACUUGGGAGUCAGAACAUGGGUGAUAAGGUCCGUGUUCGAAAGGGAAACAGCCCAGACCACCAGCUAAGGUCCCAAAAUAUAUGUUAAGUGGAAAAGGAUGUGGCGUUGCCCAGACAACUAGGAUGUUGGCUUAGAAGCAGCCAUCAUUUAAAGAGUGCGUAAUAGCUCACUAGUCGAGUGACACUGCGCCGAAAAUGUACCGGGGCUAAACAUAUUACCGAAGCUGUGGAUUGUCCUUUGGACAAUGGUAGGAGAGCGUUCUAAGGGCGUUGAAGCAUGAUCGUAAGGACAUGUGGAGCGCUUAGAAGUGAGAAUGCCGGUGUGAGUAGCGAAAGACGGGUGAGAAUCCCGUCCACCGAUUGACUAAGGUUUCCAGAGGAAGGCUCGUCCGCUCUGGGUUAGUCGGGUCCUAAGCUGAGGCCGACAGGCGUAGGCGAUGGAUAACAGGUUGAUAUUCCUGUACCACCUAUAAUCGUUUUAAUCGAUGGGGGGACGCAGUAGGAUAGGCGAAGCGUGCGAUUGGAUUGCACGUCUAAGCAGUAAGGCUGAGUAUUAGGCAAAUCCGGUACUCGUUAAGGCUGAGCUGUGAUGGGGAGAAGACAUUGUGUCUUCGAGUCGUUGAUUUCACACUGCCGAGAAAAGCCUCUAGAUAGAAAAUAGGUGCCCGUACCGCAAACCGACACAGGUAGUCAAGAUGAGAAUUCUAAGGUGAGCGAGCGAACUCUCGUUAAGGAACUCGGCAAAAUGACCCCGUAACUUCGGGAGAAGGGGUGCUCUUUAGGGUUAACGCCCAGAAGAGCCGCAGUGAAUAGGCCCAAGCGACUGUUUAUCAAAAACACAGGUCUCUGCUAAACCGUAAGGUGAUGUAUAGGGGCUGACGCCUGCCCGGUGCUGGAAGGUUAAGAGGAGUGGUUAGCUUCUGCGAAGCUACGAAUCGAAGCCCCAGUAAACGGCGGCCGUAACUAUAACGGUCCUAAGGUAGCGAAAUUCCUUGUCGGGUAAGUUCCGACCCGCACGAAAGGCGUAACGAUUUGGGCACUGUCUCAACGAGAGACUCGGUGAAAUCAUAGUACCUGUGAAGAUGCAGGUUACCCGCGACAGGACGGAAAGACCCCGUGGAGCUUUACUGUAGCCUGAUAUUGAAAUUCGGCACAGCUUGUACAGGAUAGGUAGGAGCCUUUGAAACGUGAGCGCUAGCUUACGUGGAGGCGCUGGUGGGAUACUACCCUAGCUGUGUUGG
rnacentral:rRNA from 1 species